rnacentral:misc_RNA from 1 species
AGUCAUUCGCUCUAACUAAAAUAAUCUCAAGGUCAUGGGGCCGGUCAACAGUACUAACAUUUGUUAUUGUUUUUCUCCCAAAUUAAGCUUAUUUCUAAUAAUUAACGUGGAAUUUUCGUUAACAUUAAAAAGUUAAGUAUAACUAGUGAAAUAGAAUCUAUAAGGAACACUAAAAACUUUAAGAUGGCGCCACUUACACCAGUCACGUUGUCUGGCGACAACCUGGGCCAACGUCACCGACACCUCAACAGCUUAGUGCGCGAGGCUCAUGAGAGCGGAGCCAAGUUCCCUGAUGUGGAGGCUCUGCCCGAACUGUCUCCGCUCGACCGACUCUUCAAGAUAGACCUCGCCGUCAAACUGCAACAUGUGCACUACAUAAUACAUAACCUGAAACACGACGACAUGCUGUACGUGAGCAGAGCCCUGAGAGCGACCUGGCUAGUACACCACCAGGACAUCAUUAACCCCAAACACUUGGAAGACGUACUCUUCCCAGAGAUGCUGGCGCCGGCGGUCACCAGAAUGAAACACUGGCUCUACAUCAACCUGCGAGAGCCAGCAAUGUGCCAGCAGUUCUAUCAGCACUACAAACCGAACUCCUUUGACUAUGCCAUAAAGUUCCUUAACCACUGCAGCCAAGACUUCAUACUGGAGGAGGUUCCCAACAUACUGGCAAAGAUAUCUUGUCAUUAUUUGAAGGUACUGUGUGAGAAAUGUCCUCGAGUUGCUAAAAUAUACUUCGAUGCGUUGGCGACGGAUGAUGAUGUGAAAGCGCGCUAUCUCGCACAAGAGAAGGUCUACUACAACAGCGUGAAGUGCGUGCUGAAGUCGGACGCCGAUGUGUUCCUCGACAUCACGGAGAAGUAUUUCAACAUGAACAGCUUUAGUCGCCUCAGUCCAUCGGCGACUGACUACAUCGUGCGCUGCCACAAAGCUAGAUUGUGGAACAAGUUGGAGUUGUACGCGGCGUAUAUCCUGCACAUCCCGAGCCUCGCCGCUCGGCUCAGUGUCGAGGAGUGUCAGGAAGUAGUGCUGCAGCUCGCUCGGGCGAGCUACCUGCAGUAUAGGUUCAGUUAUAAAGCCGUGGAGCCGCUGAUCAAGCGACUCAGUCCCGACAAGAGAGCCGCAUUCAAGAAACGAGUGUUCGUGGAGAAGGACGUGGGAGAGUCUGUGCCGGACUGGCCGUACUCCACGCCGGAGCCACCGCAGGUUGACUCUGAUCCUAAUGUCUUCGAUGACGAAGACAUAAGGCCAGUCUGUAGAAUGAACGAUAUGAUGUUCCCAGAAGCACUACGAAUGGGAAUGUCAAUGAAAUGUGCGGCCUAUGCAUGCCGAGCAGAGUAUGCUGAAGACUACGAAUGUAUAAUACGAGUGAAAACCGAUUUGGAUCGCCUGUUCGAUGAAUUUCGUUUCAGUAGUUUUGAUCGUACCUUGCAUGAGUUAAGUCAGCGACUGGGUGCGACCGGUUCAGCAGACAGGCGGCGCGAUAUUUUCCUUGUGUUGGUCAGCAAAAGCGGAGGUCGUACUGAUGCGGUGACAGCGCUGCUUCAGCUCGCCGUGCGUCACAUCAAUGAGCCGUCACACUCGCGCGCCUCUAUACUGCGCAGUCUGGUGAAGCGCGCCAACGUAUGGCGUCUGCCUGCUGACGUCUGGCAACAUUUGCUGGAGUUCGGCCAUGGUCUCGGACUCGACGGGGGACCUCCCGAAGCCGCGUGCCGUGAGGGGCUGCAUGCCGUUGUGAUUCGCCAAUUACUAGCUGGCGAAUGUGAACAAGCUGUCCGCGUCGCAUUUUUGAACGACUUUUCCACGCUGGCGGAAUAUUCCCUGAAGAAGGACGAACGAGAGCGUGUUGCCGUCGGUCUCCAGAACAUGUUAGCAGCUUCAGCUGCAGACGCAGAACCAAAAGUAGCCGCAGAACGACUCGGUCAGCUGCUAGAUGUCUUAAAAACAUACCGCGUUCGCGUUAAGUCCAAUUCGCCAGUGGUGGAAGCAGUGGUGGCUUUGGCUAAGCGGGAUGCAGACCUAGCGCGUCCAUUACUAGAACGUCUUUAUAACGCUCACAUUGCGAGGCGCGAACUACUGCGACACAACAUGGAGUUCAGACGAGACGAAGCAGCACUGGUGAACGCUCUUAGACAUGAUCCGUCUGCUCUCGAAGUGAAACAAGUUGUGGAUAUAUUGUCGGCUCGUAAGACUAGGUUCAAUAAAUUUGUCUCAAAACUAGUUGUAUACUUUGAUCAGAAACAUGACGUUACGGCGUUGCUCCGCAUCGCUUUAAAAGAGAAGACGAUGAAUGAAGAUGGAAAAGAACAGAAUAUAACGUUGGCACGUGUGCUGGCAACUAUACUGGGAGCUAACUUGGAGGCGACAAUACGUGAGUGUGACGCUGCGGGCAAGGACCGCAUGAGGCUUGCGGCGGCUCUAAGGGCGUGCGCACACCGCGCCCGGCCAGCCAUCAACUUGGCGGAGUGGGGCUGGCGCAAGGCUGGUGUGAAGGCUGUCGCGACGCUCGCGAUGCGCUGUCGGGAAGCAGAGAGAGCCUCGCUAACUCGUGCGCUAGCGGCCGAGCGGCGCACGGUGAGAGUAGCCUUAGCGCUCAGCAUGCGCUCUGCGGGCGGCGCAGUGCUCGACACCUUCGCGGCAGCAGUCAAGCUGCGCCCAGCAGUCGCGCUGCGAGUAGCGUUGCUGUACUUCCGACGCGCAGGCGCUGGCGCUGACCUCAGGGUGUGGGAUACGGUGAAACCCCUGCUCUCCAGCAUCGACCUGGCACCACGCGAGAGGCUCCGUCGACUUCUUAGAAACACUGACUGGCUGCCUUCCAGUAUCAAACCCGACUACUGCGUUACUUUAUAUUUUCCACUGAAGAAAGUAUCUUAUUCUGGCGCCGACCGAAUACUCAUUGAAAUCGCGAAACUUCUCCCCGACAGCGGCGAGUCCGUCGAAAAGAUAUUGCUUGAGAUGCUCGACAAUACUGACACACAUGUUCCGGUGGUACCCUUCCCUGGACUUUAUAUUAGGUACUUGAUGCUCUCCAAGAGUGAUGAGGACUUGGAAAAAAGAUUCAUGACUGUAGGAAAUAGAUGUUUAGAACAGUUGGAGGCUCUGCGUUCUAAAGGAAACAAGGGGAUAGGUGAUUUAAAGUACAGACUAGUUCAAAUUUUUGAAAGCUUAAAAUAUAACGCCGCGUUCUUAAACACUGACUACCCAUGUUGUUUGUCAAUCAUAGAGAAGAUCUUAACCUGGAUGAGGACAUUCAUGCCCAAACAGGAAUACUUCGACAAGUACGUGCAGGUGCAUCUGACAAUGUUGUACUACAGAGCGGUGAGGCAGAGCAUGAAACAGAUGCCGGACGUGUUCGCUGAUGUGAAGCGGAGGAAGUCGGAGGGCGUGGAGGCUGUGGGCUUCGUCCUCGGGAGGUACAUAGUGAAGGAGGUGGCCCAGCUCGUGGAAACAUACUUCGACUCCAUAAUAGAGCUGUAUUCUGGUGCUCUGGUCAAUUACUUAGGUAAUCAAUUUAGGUUCGGUUAUUCAAGGUCGAGGUUUAAUGGGGCUGUUUUGAAGGGUAUGUUGGCAGAGGGGAAGGACAGUCAACGAAGAAUUAUCGUCUACGUGUUGAGAGAUUGUCAAUACGACGUGGACAAAGAGAUGACAAAAGACAUAAAAGAGCAGCUGAAGAACGAUAAAGUUAAUGAAAUAUUUGUGCAAGCUCUGAUUGACGAUUAGGGUUUUGUCAUUUUUGAAUUCAUAAUGUAUUUAGGUCUUCAAUUAGAAUCACUGAUUUUUUAUGCAUCACCAGAGCUGUAUACGUGUAACGUUAAAUCCGCAACACCUCAGACACCCCAAACGUAUUUAACCGACUUAAAAAAAGCUUCUCAUAUUGUCUGCUUAUUUUUUGGCUUUGUUUCUCGAUUUCCCGGAGACGUCUAUGAAGUCUGAAGAAAGCGUUUUAAUUCAGUUUCCGAAAUCCUAGAAAAAAUGAAAAAAAUAUAUAAUCAGACUGGGAUUUUUUUUCUGAUCAAAGCAUUGAAAUAUCUUUUCGCAUUUAACUGUACAAGCUGCGUUAAAGUAAAACUUGUAGGUAUUUAGAUCGUACAUGUAAAAUGUGAUAUUACGAACAUAAAGUUCGGUUUUGCGUAAUCUUUGGUAAUAAAAAUAUAUUUUCAAUCUUACAAAUAACAAAUAAAAGUGAAAUUGCCUGCUACAGUAUUAAAAUAGGAUGAGUUGUAAUAUUAGUUUCGAUACAUACCUACCUACCACACUAUUUUGCAAUAUUUUUGAAAACAGUAUUUGGUUUUUAGAGAUAUAUUUUGUUACUAUUUUUAUUCAGUUGUUGACAACGUGAGAUGAAGUGAUAUUGUUAACUUACAUAAGAUAAGAUAUUGAGUAAACCUAUUUUUUUUCUACUUACUAUUGUUAACCACAUUUUUAAUUUUAAUAAAAGUUAUUUAACCAAACCAA